rnacentral:rRNA from 1 species
UACGAAGGGGGCUAGCGUUGCUCGGAAUCACUGGGCGUAAAGGGUGCGUAGGCGGGUCUUUAAGUCAGGGGUGAAAUCCUGGAGCUCAACUCCAGAACUGCCUUUGAUACUGAGGAUCUUGAGUUCGGGAGAGGUGAGUGGAACUGCGAGUGUAGAGGUGAAAUUCGUAGAUAUUCGCAAGAACACCAGUGGCGAAGGCGGCCUGCUGGGCCGGUCCUGACGCUGAUGCGCGAAGGCGUGGGGAGCGAACGGG